rnacentral:rRNA from 1 species
UAGGGAAUCUUCCACAAUGGACGCAAGUCUGAUGGAGCAACGCCGCGUGAGUGAAGAAGGUUUUCGGAUCGUAAAGCUCUGUUGUUGGUGAAGAAGGAUAGAGGCAGUAACUGAUCUUUAUUUGACGGUAAUCAACCAGAAAGUCACGGCUAACUACGUGCCAGCAGCCGCGGUAAUACGUAGGUGGCAAGCGUUGUCCGGAUUUAUUGGGCGUAAAGCGAGCGCAGGCGGAAUGAUAAGUCUGAUGUGAAAGCCCACGGCUCAACCGGGGAACUGCAUCGGAAACUGUCAUUCUUGAGUGCAGAAGAGGAGAGUGGAAUUCCAUGUGUAGCGGUGGAAUGCGUAGAUAUAUGGAAGAACACCAGUGGCGAAGGCGGCUCUCUGGUCUGCAACUGACGCUGAGGCGCGAAAGCAUGGGUAGCGAACAGG